rnacentral:rRNA from 1 species
UACGCGUGUGUGAAGAAGGCCUGAGGGUUGUAAGCACUUUCAAUAGGAAGGAAUACUAUCGGUUAAUACCCGGUAGACUGACAUUACCUAUACAAGAAGCACCGGCUAACUCCGUGCCAGCAGCCGCGGUAAUACGGAGGGUGCAAGCGUUAAUCGGAAUUACUGGGCGUAAAGCGUGCGUAGGCGGUUAUUUAAGUCAGAUGUGAAAGCCCUGGGCUUAACCUGGGAACUGCAUUUGAUACUGGAUGACUAGAGUUGAGUAGAGGAGAGUGGAAUUUCAGGUGUAGCGGUGAAAUGCGUAGAGAUCUGAAGGGACACCAGUGGCGAAGGCGGCUCUCUGGACUCAAUCUGACGCUGAGGUACGAAAGCGUGGGUAGCAAACAGGAUUAGAUACCCUGGUAGUCCACGCCGUAAACGAUGUCAACUAACCGUUGGGUUCUUUAAGAACUUAGUGGUGGAGCUAACGUAUUAAGUUGACCGCCUGGGGAGUACGGCCGCAAGGCUAAAACUCAAAUGAAUUGACGGGGGCCCGCACAAGCGGUGGAGCAUGUGGUUUAAUUCGAUGCAACGCGAAGAACCUUACCUACCCUUGACAUGUAGCGAAUCCUUUAGAGAUAGAGGAGUGCCUUCGGGAACGCUAACACAGGUGCUGCAUGG